UAGCCUCGGCGCGAAGCCUGAUGCAGCACGCCGCGUGAGUGAUGAAGGCUUUCGGCUCGUAAACUCUGUCAUCAGGGAAGAACAUAUGUGUACGUAACUGUGCACGUCUUGACGGUACCUAAUCAGAAAGCCACGGCUAACUACGUGCCAGCAGCCGCGGUAAUAG
rnacentral:rRNA from 1 species